rnacentral:rRNA from 1 species
UCGAGGAUCUUCGGCAAUGGGCGCAAGCCUGACCGAGCGACGCCGCGUGUGGGAUGAAGGCCUUCGGGUUGUAAACCACUGUCAGUGGGGAGGAAGGUCCGGUGCAGAACCGGAUUUGACCUAUCCGCAGAGGAAGUGUGGGCUAAGUCCGUGCCAGCAGCCGCGGUAAGACGGACCACACAAACGUUAUUCGGAAUUACUGGGCUUAAAGGGUGCGUAGGCUGUGCAGAAAGUUGGGUGUGAAAUCCCUCGGCUUAACCGAGGAAUUGCGCCCAAAACUACUGUGCUUGAGGAAGACAGAGGUAAGCGGAACUUAGGGUGGAGCGGUGAAAUGCGUUGAUAUCCUAAGGAACACCGGUGGCGAAAGCGGCUUACUGGGUCUUUUCUGACGCUGAGGCACGAAAGCUAGGGUAGCGAACGGGAUUAGAUACCCCCGUAGUCC